AACGAACGCUGGCGGCAUGCCUAACACAUGCCAGUCGAACGAGACCUUCGGGUCUAGUGGCGCACGGGUGCGUAACGCGUGGGAACCUGCCCUUAGGUUCGGAAUAACUCCCCGAAAUGGGUGCUAAUACCGGAUAAUGUCUUCGGACCCAAGAUUGAUCGCCUUUGGAUGGGCCCGCGUUGGAUUAGCUAGUUGGUAGGGUAAAAGCCUACCAAGGCUACGAUCCAUAGCUGGUCUGAGAGGAUGAUCAGCCACACUGGGACUGAGACACGGCCCAGACUCGUAGGGGAGGGGGCAGUGGGGAAUAUUGGACAAUGGGGGAAAGCCUGAUCCAGCAAUGCCGCGUGAGUGAUGAAGGCCUUAGGGAAGUAAAGCUCUUUUACCCGGGAUGAUAAUGACAGUACCGGGAGAAUAAGCACCGGCUAACUCCGUG
rnacentral:rRNA from 1 species